GCCCCCUGGCGCGGGUGGUGAGAUGGCUGGGGCCGAGUCCCAGGGGCGCCGGGGCCAUGGGCCAAGCUCAGGGGAGCAGAGCCUGAGGCCGAGAGGGGUCCCCUGGGCACGAAGAAGGGGAGCUCAUUAGUAACCUCGAUUUGGGUUCUGUGGACUGGAAGAGGCUCCCAUAAGGCAGGGGAGGAGAAGGAGAAGAGGAAUCCAUUCUUCGGGAGGGACCGGGUUGGAGGUUGAACCUGGGGGCGCAGUGCAGCACGUUCUCUCUCCCUCCUCAAGGGGAAACUGGAGGACGAGGGGCAGAUGCCCCUUGGGGAGAGGCGGGCGCUCUGUGGGCGACGAGGCGGGGCGGAUCCCUGGGGGGAGCUUUAAGCCGACUCUACUGGAGAAGCAGUCUACCCUAGAGGGAGGAUGGGCAGUUUUCCUGCGGGGGAGGCGCUUGGGCCUGUCCCCGCUUGAGGAGGAGCGUUCCUGGCAGGGCGGAGUCCCCGGAGUGACGCAGAGGAGGUGAAACUCUCCAGCCCAGAUCUAGUUCGGGCUUCAGAAAGUCGGAUGGGGCAGAGGAUCCAGGUUGGGGGGUUGGCCGCCAGAUGGCGCUCCUCGGCCAGGCUGGAACCGGAGGCCCUUGAGAACUCGCGUUGGAGAGGGACCUGGACCCUCCCCCGUUACCCAUCUGUGAAGGGUUGGACUGGGGAAAGGCUACAGUUCUGAAUCUAUUAGUUUAAUGCCACUCUCCCCUUCCUUUUACUCUAAUUCUUGUGUCCUCAAGAGCUCCCAGUCCUGCACUGACCUUUCUUGGUUGCUUUCUUAGGUCAAAGGUCUAAAGUUUGGGGGAACAAAGGAGUGGAGAGCUCAGUUAACCUGGAUCACCCAGGGGAGGAGCUAAAACGGGGCCCAGAAGACCUGCCUCCAAGGCCAGAGACUGAUACUUUGACAUACUAAAUGUCUUGCAUAAAAUCUGGCUCUGCUGGAGAGAAGGGCCUUCCCCUUUGGGGUCAGGGCAUUUGGACUGUCUAGGAUGGACUUUAACCAGACUCAUCCAAACUCCAGCUUUCCCUGGUUCUUUACUCUGGCUUUUAGCCAUAUUAGUGCUGUGUGGAGUCUGACCCAAUGAGAAAGACUUGUUCCCAGUAAUUCCCUGGGGGAGAAAGAGGGGGUCCCUGGUGACUCAGGAAAAGGUGCUAGGAACAGGGCUUCUCAC
rnacentral:lncRNA from 1 species